CGUUAAAACUCCGCUUUUCGUUUGAACACCGAAGGUAAGCAACGUCGAGCCUAGUCAGUACCUAGAUGGAUGACCGUUUGGGAAUAUCAGGUGCUGCAA